UGCUCAAAGUUCCGUUCAUGGAGCAAUGGCAGGGUUCACAGGCUUUUUAGUUAGCAUAUUACUGAGAGCCAGAACCAGGUUGUGAUUACCGAUAGGAUCUGGGCCACAACUCCUUUCUUCAACCAACCAACCGAGCUUCUUGAACCCCAAAGAUGUUGAUGAAGUCCAAAAAGAGGAAGAGCCUCCAACUCAACUGCUAGACAGGGAAAAUUGUAAAGCUAGCAAGUACUGAAGACAUUCCUGGCAUGACAUGAAAACACAAGACUGUUUUAUUCGAAACCUUCUGUUAGAAUCGCUAGUAUUCAGAUCUUUGGUUGAUGCCCUACUGACCCAGAAUGUUGAUGGGAAUUCACAUUUUUGACUGCUAGUACCAUCUGUGGAGCAUAAUUGUUUGCUGUUGUAUCAGAUGAAUUCAAUUCACCAUGCCCUACCGAAGAGAUUUCCGCUUAAAAUGUUCAUUUGAUAUAAGCAAUACUAGCAUAUCUGGAAUGGGAUUAGCAGAGUCUAAUUAAGCUCCAUCCUGUACGAAUUUGUAAUUACUUAGGUCAUUGCAUAUUUUUGACUAGUGCUGCUACUGGCCAUUUGUUCUGUUGGAUAGUUUUGGGUGUUUAGCAGUAGAUAGUAGUUUAUCAACACACGCAAGCACCUCAAGUUUGAAAUGAUUGUAUUGUGACGGUGCUUGAUCCUGAAGUGGUAAUGCUGAUUUCAAUUUCACAUUGGUUAACUUUUUGUCAAAUUAAUUCUGUGGACCAUUUGAUUGUUC